rnacentral:rRNA from 1 species
CAAUAGCGUAUAUUAAAGUUGUUGCAGUUAAAAAGCUCGUAGUUGGAUUUGUGGCGUACGCGGAACUCCCUUCACUCAAGUGUUGGUGCUGUUUCGCGUUGCCAUCCUUGGGUGGAAUCUGUGUGGCAUUAGGUUGUCGUGCAGGGGAUGCCCAUCGUUUACUGUGAAAAAAUUAGAGUGUUCAAAGCAGGCUUAUGCCGUUGAAUAUGUUAGCAUGGAAUAAUGAGAUAGGACUGCGGUACUAUUUUGUUGGUUUGCGCACCGUGGUAAUGGUUAAUAGGAACGGAUUGGGGGUAUUCGUAUUUCAUUGUCAGAGGUGAAAUUCUUGGAUUUUUGAAAGACGAACGACUGCGAAAGCAUUUACCAAGGAUGUUUNCAUUA